GUGAAACAAUGAAGGCGACGGAGGUUCUGAACAGGGGAUGGAGGUUCCGUCUACCUAUCCAAUCUAUGGGCUGAAAAAGGAGUCGAUGGAGCAUGCUCUUUUUCGCUAUUCGAGGAUGAGUUUGAUUUGGAAGAUGAUAGGUGGCCAGCCACGAGAGGACAAUCAGUAAACCUUGGCUUCUCCUAUUCCUAGAUGCGAUUCAUCAGAACAUGAUUGAGAACUUAUCGGGGGGCAGUAGGAUGGCAUAUAUUACCUAUCAAAUUUGACUAUCCAGAAAUAGCC
rnacentral:lncRNA from 1 species